rnacentral:lncRNA from 1 species
CUUGUGCAUCUGAUACGUGGAACACUGGGAAUAGUUCCGGUUGCCACCUGAAGCCUAGAGUGCUCUGGGAGGCCAGCCUGCGGGGCACACCUCAGGGUCAUCAUGUAUCUUGUUCCUGUUCUAGCGGCAGGUGGGCUGUGUAAGUCUCCACAGAGCUCUUCAGUGUCUGGGUCCCUUGGAGUUUGUGCUCCAUGAUGGCUGAUGCCUUCAGUGAAUGUUGCUCAUGCUGGGCACUUGCUGGGAGGGACUGUACCAGGAGCACGCUCACAUCCGCCCUCUCCAGAGGCCUCCAAUAAACAGGAGAGAGGCCAGCACUGGACAGCUAGGUCAGUGGAACCCUCUGAGGAAGCUGAGAUGGAAUUCACACAGCUGACAACUCAGGGGCACCUAUUCAGUGCCUGGGCUGGGCGCCACCCCUCUGUUAGCUCCUAAGCACUUGUGUUACCCAGAACACCUCUGUCCACUGUCAGCCCACCCCUCUUGUGGCUCCAAGUGCGUCUCUAAUGAUGAACCUCUUCUGCUGGUCUCUGCUUUCAAUUGGUAAGCUUAGUCCCUUCUCAUUUAAAGCAAUUUCUGAUAAAGAAGGGCUUCUUUUCCCACUUUCCUAUUAAUGUGUCUUAAAUCUCUUUUGUUCCUCAGUUGCACCAAUGCUGCCUUUUUUAGGAGGGGGUUACCGGAGAUUAGACCCAGUGGCACUUAACCACUAGCCACAUCCCCAGCCCUUUUUAUUCUUAAUUUUAAACCAGGGUCUCACUAAGGUGUUUACAGCCUAGCUAAGUUGCUGAGGCUGGGUUUGAACUUAUGAUCCUUGAGCCUUAGCUUCCCAAGCACUAGAGUUACAGGCAUGCACCACUUUGACCAUAAUUCUAUUUUUAAAUUACUGUUUUAAGUUCCUUGUUUACUUUCUACCAUAUUUAGUUAUUUCCUUUGUGGUUAUCAUGGGGAUUACAAUUAGCAUCCCACAUUUAUCACAAUCUAGUUUAUCUUACAUUGAUUUAGCUUCAAAAGCACCCGGAACCAGUCUUAUAGCUCUGUAUUCAAGCUGUAUGUUGUUCUUGUCAUAAACCAGCUCUUUAUACACUAUGGUCCAAUUAACAUAGAUUCAUAAUUAUUUUAUUCAUUAUCUCUUAAAGCAUCUGAGAAACAAAAAGAGGAGAUAUUAACCAAAAAUGCAGUAAUACUAUAUUUUCUAUUAUAUUUGCUAUGCAAUUGUCUUUACUAUUUAUCUGCUAUAUAUAUUAUAUUUGCUAUGUAAUUGUCUUUACUUGAGUUCAUGAUUUUUUGUGUGGCAUCGAGUUACCAUUUAGGGUCUUCACUCAUUUCUUGUAGGAAAGGUCUUAGUGACAACCGUCUUCAGCUUUUGCUUAUCUGGGAAUCUUACCUUUGGCUUGAUUUUUGAAGGACAGUUUUGGCGUAUCACCUCAGGCCCCCAGGCUUCUGAUGAGAGGUCAGCUGAUGAUUUUGUUGCAAGUCCCUUGUAUGUGACAAGUCAUUUCCCUCUUGGUGCUUCCAGGAUUCUCCCUCCUUUUUUUAAUAUUUAUUUUUUUGUGGUUGUAGUUGGACACAAUACCUUUAUUUUAUUUGUUUUUAUGUGGUGCUGAGGAUGGAACCCGGGGCCUUGCACGUGCUAGGGGAGCCUCUGCCACUGAGCCCCAGCCCCAACCCCGGGGCCUUGCACGUGCUAGGGGAGCCUCUGCCACUGAGCCCCAGCCCCAGCCCCUCUCUCUCUCUCUCUU